rnacentral:rRNA from 1 species
UACAGAGGAGCCAAGCGUUGUCCGGAUUGACUGGGCGUAAAGCGCACGCAGGCGGAUGCGCGCGUGGGGUGUGAAAUCUGGCCGCUUAACGGCCAGGCGCCAUCCCAUACGGCGCGUCUGGAGUGAUGCAGAGGUCGAUGGAAUUGCCGGUGUAGUGGUGAAAUGCGUAGAGAUCGUAAGGAAGGCCAGUGGCGAAGGCGAGUUCCUGGACAGUUACUGACGCUGAGGCACGAAGGCCAGGGGAGCAAACGGG